CUCCACUUCGGGUCACGGUGAGUCUUCGGUAAUAGGGGUUUGACGCUCAAGUUCACGGUCCCACGACAAGUUCAUUUGGGAAUAGCUCCCUUUACUCGGGUGGAUCUGUUGAGCGUGGACUCGAUCGAGGGGCAUAACCAAGUAUCAGGUAAGGGUACAGCGAGGGGCAGACCGACGAG